rnacentral:lncRNA from 1 species
UAUACGAUAUACGAUACAUGGGCUGGAUUUAGUGGUCUCUGCCGAGCAUGGGCAUAUGACUAUUCCGCGAUUGCUCCUCUGGCAACGUAAGCGCAUUCUACGGUUCACUGCAGCCAUGGUAAAGAAAAGUGAAGCUCAGCCAGUGAUGAAUGCCAGACGCUCAAACUUCCACUGGCCCACACUUGCUUGAACUGUGAACUUCAAGCGGACAGAUCUCGCAACCCAGCCGUUAGAUCUUCUUGAAAUCUCGUAGGUGCAGUCUCCUUGGUGUCUUCUAGCUCACAGUUUUGAUUGCUCCCUUUCCCUCCGUUUUGCGGAGCUCAGCAGCAGAAGCUCCCGCAAGGUAAGUGCCCUGGCAGUGGCUCAAUGGCUCAUGGUUUUGAUUCCCAGCUGCAAGCUUGAUGGGGCCGUGUGGUCGGGUCGGGAUCAUCUUUUUCCUCUCCAAAGCCUCCGCAAGUCCUUGUUUUCUACAGAGAGAUCGAUUACUCUCCCGGGAGAAAGACUGAAUGGCAACUGGAUUGUAAUUGUAGGAAUAAUGAUGAACAUGACAAGCAAGAUGAUUCAUAUCAGAAGUAGUCCGAAUCGUGAUCAGAUCUCUGGUGAUUUUUUAUUUGAUUAAAGUUGUAUAUAUAUACAACCAUACAUGAAUCAAAAGUGAAAUCUGUUGUUCUUGCUCCACUUUUCUUUCAUGGUAUCGGAGCUCAGUUUCUGAAUUCUUUCUUCUCCUUUCUUUGUGCCUCACAUCAUGAGCUGCAGC